rnacentral:rRNA from 1 species
UACGUAGGGGCGAGCGUUAUCCGGAAUUAUUGGGCGUAAAGGGUUCGCAGGCGGCCUUGUAAGUCAGAUGUGAAAGACAGCGGCUUAACCGUUGUAAGCAUUUGAAACUGCAGGGCUUGAGUACAGGAGAGGAAAGCGGAAUUCCUAGUGUAGCGGUGAAAUGCGUAGAUGUUAGGAGGAACACCAGUGGCGAAGGCGGCUUUCUGGACUGAUACUGACGCUGAGGAACGAAAGCGUGGGGAGCAAACAGGAUUAGAUACCCUGGUAGUCCCU